rnacentral:rRNA from 1 species
CAAUAGCGUAUAUUAAAGUUGUUGCAGUUAAAAAGCUCGUAGUUGGAUUUGUGGCGUACGGUGUGUUCCGGGCACUUGUUGUCUGAGUAACCUGCUGUUGCCAUCCUUGGGUGGAACCUGUGUGGCAUUAGGUUGUCGUGCAGGGGAUGCCCAUCAUUUACUGUGAAAAAAUUAGAGUGUUCAAAGCAGACUUAUGCCGUUGAAUAUAUUAGCAUGGAAUAAUGAGAUAGGACUUUUUUGCUAUUUUGUUGGUUUGCGCAAGAAGGUAAUGAUUAAUAGGGACAGUUGGGGGUAUUCGUAUUCCAUUGUCAGAGGUGAAAUUCUUGGAUUUUUGGAAGACGAACUACUGCGAAAGCAUUUACCAAGGAUGUUUUCAUUAA